UUUAUACAUUUUCUACAGAAAAUGCACCCCAUCAUUGCCUAUAGCCCACCCACGUGGACUGCCCAUUCUGUGAAUCAUGUUUUACAGAUUUGUUUAUGCGGCAUUCCUCAUUUGAAUAAAGCAGAACCAAAUGUCUUGGUUUGAAGAUUGAGAUGAAAUGGAAGGGCCACAAAUAGUAAUUUAUCUUUGAGCAUCGUAUAGAUACACAUGUAACCUGAUACUAAACAAAAGUAAACGCUCAUGGACUGUCAGUGAUGUGGUGGGAUAUGCCAGAGGGAAGUGAUUUGUGAACUCACUGGAGAGAGACUUCUACUAGAAAAAUUGCCUUGACGUUAGGAAUUAAAAAAACAAAACAAAACAAAACAAAAAACAUGAAGCUGUAUUCUCCAGAAGCUUCUGAUUUAAGGAGAUAGGUAAGUACAAUUUCAACAUAAUGCAUUAAGUGCUAUGAGAGUAGUAUGAUGGUGAUAAGUGCUAUACAAGACAAGGGUUCUAGGUUAAUUGCUUUGAGAAAAUUGCCACCCUUUAACAAGGUUAAACUGGAUUCUUUAAUGUAGACCUUAUUGAGAGUUUCUAAUAUGUCACUGUGCUUUGUGAAUCUUCAUGUGUGUAGAGUAGACAUCCAGUCUGCCAAGUUCCGCAAACUCAUCUGACAACAGAACUCUUUUUCAAUGGAAUAUCUCAAGGCAUUUGUGCUCCAUGAGACAUAAGAUGAGAAGGGCUGACACAAGAUUCUCACCUAGUGAAAAAAAAUAUGUAUUUAUAUUUUUAAAAACUGGUUGGAUGGGGGCUUUCUCCCAAUACAUAAAUGACUUUGAAGUUUUUUUUUUUUCAGUCCUAUGACAGAGUAAAUAUACAGACUUAAAAGGAUUUACCAUGAAGAUUUUAAUGACUGCUGGGCUGAUUAUUAAGCCUGAUCUCAGUGAAAUGGAAUGCCUUUAGUUAUUUUCAUUUAUGGACUGUUUAACGAUUUUUCUCCAAAAGAAAUAUUUAAUGAACACAAUAUUGAGUUCCUCCCAGUGCUUCUAAUUAACAGACCACUGAACGAUCUUUGUUAAAGGAAAGGCUAGCUUCAGGCCAGAAGGCGUUGCAGGAUCUAAUAUGUAUGCUACCAUGGGUGACCAAGCAUAAAGAUAAACUAAGGAUUUGAAUAUAUAAGGGCUAAUGUUUGUGUCCAUUGUUAUGGAAUUUCUGACAAUCACUCUGUAGUCUUUCCUAAUAUUUGGCCUUUAGGAAAAGUGUUUUGGACUGAAUUGUUCUCUCUCCUCAUUAUCCUCCUUAAUGUGUGAAAGUCUCAGUGUAACUGUUGAUUACCUGAUCUCUAUUUCAUAAAGAGGAAAAACAGAUCCAGAGGACCAUUUCAUGAUUCAUCCUUUUUCAAAAUGUUUCUUAAAACAUUAAAGUUUUAUUAUUGUAAACUGUU
rnacentral:antisense_RNA from 1 species